rnacentral:tRNA from 1 species
GGCCUUGUAGUCUAGUGGCAAAAUGCCUCUUUCACAUAGAGGAGUCCGCAGUUCGAUCCUGCGCAGGGCCA